rnacentral:rRNA from 1 species
GACGAACGCUGGCGGCGUGCCUAACACAUGCAAGUCGAACGGGGUGAAGCCCUUCGGGACUUCACUUAGUGGCGAACGGGUGAGUAACGCGUGAGGAACCUGCCUUUCAGUGGGGGACAACAGUUGGAAACGACUGCUAAUACCGCAUAACACUUUUUGGGGACAUCCCUGAAAAGUCAAAGCUUUAUGUGCUGAAAGAUGGCCUCGCGUCUGAUUAGCUGGUUGGCGGGGUAACGGCCCACCAAGGCGACGAUCAGUAGCCGGUCUGAGAGGAUGAACGGCCACAUUGGGACUGAGAUACGGCCCAGACUCCUACGGGAGGCAGCAGUGGGGAAUAUUGGGCAAUGGGGGAAACCCUGACCCAGCAACGCCGCGUGAAGGAAGAAGGCCCUCGGGUUGUAAACUUCUUUUGUCAGGGACGAGUAGAAGACGGUACCUGACGAAUAAGCCACGGCUAACUACGUG